rnacentral:rRNA from 1 species
AAGAAAAUAACAAUGAUUUCCCUAGUAACGGCGAGUGAAGAGGAAAGAGCUCAAAGUUGGAACCUGUUUGGCUUAGCUAAACCGGAUUGUAAACUGUAGAAGUGUUUUCCAGACACGCCUGGUAAAAAAGUCCUUUGGAACAGGGCAUCAUAGAGGGUGAGAAUCCCGUCUUUGGCCAGAGCUGUUGUCUUUUGUGAUACAUUUUCAAAGAGUCAGGUUGUUUGGGAAUGCAGCCUAAAUUGGGUGGUAAAUCUCACCUAAAGCUAAAUAUUUGCGAGAGACCGAUAGCGAACAAGUACCGUGAGGGAAAGAUGAAAAGAACUUUGAAAAGAGAGUUAAACAGUAUGUGAAAUUGUUAAAAGGGAACCGUUUGGAGCCAGACUGGCUUGACUGUAAUCAAUCUAGGCUUCGGCCUGGAUGCACUUGCGGUUUAUGCCUGCCAACGACAAUUUUUUUUGAGGGAAAAAACUAUUAGGAAUGUGGCCCCUCUCGGGGGGUGUUAUAGCCUUUUAGAAAAUACCUUGAAUUGGAUUGAGGAACGCAGUGAAUGCCUUUAGGCAAGAUUGCUGGGCGCUUUCGCUAAUAAAUGCUAGAAUUUCUGCUUCGGGUGGUGCUAGUGUUUAAAGGAGAAACUCGUCUGGUAU